AUGGCCGAGUCAGCCAUUAGCAUCGUGCUCGGCAAUGUCAACGCACUUGCAGUUCGGGAGACCACAAUGUUGUGUUGUGUCACCCUCGAAGUGGAGCUCCUGAAGGACGAGCUCAAGCGGCUGCGAGGCUUCCUUAGAGACGCCGACAACAAAUGGAGGCGGGGAGAUGAAAGUACUGCUGUCUUGGUCGGCCAGAUCAGAGAAGUGGCGUAUGAUGCUGACAAUGCCAUCGAAGCCGCUGAGUACAUGCAGAAGAGAAACAGAUUGAAGAAGGGGUUCAUGGGUACCAUUUCAAGGUAUUCUCGCCUACAAAGUGAUUUGACUAACCUUCACAAAGUUGGUGUUGAGAUCCAAUGCAUCAAAAGGAAGAUUUCUGAUAUAUUUGAAAGUGCAAACCGUCUUAAAAUAGUUGAUUUGGGGAAUACCUCAACAGAAAAUCUUCAAGUUGAUGGUGAACUCCCACAAGAGUAUGGGCCUAUGCACCAGAACUUUGAAGAUGUUGUCAUGGUUGGUUUUGAGGAUGAUUACCAGGAAAUAGUGGGGAAACUACUUGAUAAAGGGGACAGUCUUAGUGUUGUCUCCCUAGUUGCCAUGGGUGGGGCGGGGAAAACAACACUUGCUAGAAAAUUCUACACUUCAACUAGUGCCAAACAACAUUUUGAGAUAGUUUCUUGGGUGACGGUGUCUCAGAAGUACAAAGGAAUUGAUUUACUAAAAGAUAUUCUGAAACAAAUCACUGGAAGCACAUUUAGGUCAGCUGAUCAAAUGCAAGAGUUUGUAGCAAAGCCUUACCAUCAUACAAAAGGUAUGUCAUACAUGAUGUGGAUGAGUUUGAAAAACUUGGGAGAAAGCUUGCAAGGAAAUGUGAUGGAUUACCUAUCAAAGAAUUUAAAUGCACAAACAUGGUCUGAUAUACUAUUGGAUUGGCCAUCGACCAAAAAUGAGCAGAUGAUGUGA
rnacentral:rRNA from 1 species